CCUACGGGGGGCUGCAGUAAGGAAUAUUGGUCAAUGGACGCAAGUCUGAACCAGCCAUGCCGCGUGGAGGAUGAAGGUCCUCUGGAUUGUAAACUUCUUUUAUCUGGGAAGAAACUCCCGAUUUCCAUCGAGAUUGACGGUACCAGAUGAAUAAGCACCGGCUAACUCCGUGCCAGCAGCCGCGGUAAUACGGAGGGUGCCGGCGUUAUCCGGAUUCACUGGGUUUAAAGGGUGCGUAUAAGUCAGUGGUGAAAUCUUCGGGCUUAACCCUGAAACUGCCAUUGAUACUAUUUGUCUUGAAUACUCUGGAGGUGAGCGGAAUAUGUCAUGUAGCGGUGAAAUGCUUAGAUAUGACAUAGAACACCCAUUGCGAAGGCAGCUCACUACGGAAAUAUUGACGCUGAGGCACGAAAGCGUGGGGAGCAAACAGGAUUAGAUACCCCAGUAGUC
rnacentral:rRNA from 1 species